UCAGCAAUAUCAGAGAAGCCAGCAAAGGCGUGUGUCGCCGACGGAAUCUGUUGUCUAACACUGCCGCUGCGACGGCGACACCGUCGUCUACUCGCCAUCGUUCAGCUCGCCGUGGCGCUCUGGCUGGCGGCGACGAGCGGCUACCGGUGCAAGCUGGUGGUGGACGGCAGCCAUACUCCGCUCCACGGGCGCGCUGGCGCCCGCAGCCGAUGCCGUCGGUCUGCCCGCCGGAGGGUUGCUUUUGGUCACCGCCCUCUGCCCGACAGCCUUAGUUAG
rnacentral:lncRNA from 2 species